rnacentral:rRNA from 1 species
UACGAAGGGGGCUAGCGUUGCUCGGAUUGACUGGGCGUAAAGGGCGCGUAGGCGGCUUGUACAGUCAGACGUGAAAUUCCUGGGCUCAACCUGGGGGCUGCGUUUGAUACGUGCGGGCUUGAGUUCGGAAGAGGGUCGUGGAAUUCCCAGUGUAGAGGUGAAAUUCGUAGAUAUUGGGAAGAACACCAGUGGCGAAGGCGGCUCACUGGCCCGGAACUGACGCUGAGACGCGAAAGCGUGGGGAGCAAACAG